GACGUAGGUGGCGAACGUUAUCCGGAAUUAUUGGGCGUAAAGGAUGCGUAGAUGGUGUAGUAAGUUAUCGGUGGUAAAUCGAGGCUCAACCUCGUGGAAGUCGGUAAUACUGCUAUGCUAGAGGAUAGGAGAGGUUAACGGAACUCCCUGUGGAGCGGUGAAAUGCGUAGAUAUAGGGAAGAACACCAAUCAGGCGAAGGCAGUUAACUAUUCUAUUCCUGACAUUGAGGCAUGAAAGCGUGGGGAGCAAACAGG
rnacentral:rRNA from 1 species